UUAUUUUGAAAAACUCAGCAAACAAAAAUGACUCUUUAUUACACCAGACUAGUAUGUGUCUUUAGGUUCCCAGGCCUCAGUCAGGAAGUCAAGCCAGGCUGCUUGUUCUUUUAACAGUAGCCAUCAAAGCACACUGAUUUCUAUAUCCAUAACUUUUUAACAAGAAGAGAUAAAAAAUAAGUUUUAAAAUCAAAAAACAAAUUAUGAUCUCAAUUACAACAGUGUCAAUCUGGAGUGACUCCACUAAUGUUUGUGAGAGUUAGGCCCAAAGGCUGGCUCUGCCAUCAGUCAAAACGCCAAGCAAACCAGAAUUGGAGAUGAAUCAAACCUGAGGAUGGUUUUAGUUUACUUUUUGCUAAAUGUUGUUUGUUAGGAUUUUGUUUGUUUGUUUGUUUGUUUUGUUUUUACAUACAGCAAAGAUCCCUUUUAUCUGAAUCUCAACAACUGGAUUGGGAAGAGGGGCUUAGAUGAAGAGUCAACAAAGAUCAGGUACAUAGUUCUGGUAUGGGUCAAUCCUACACAUUUUUUAAGGUUCUGAUAUGUUCUGUUAACUCUUUCCACUGACUACUUUUCAUGUAGCUGAUGAACCAGAGGGAACUGAAGGCGAGUUACCAGUUCUUUUUUUCCUUUUUUUUUUUUUUUUUGUCCAGCUGAACUGAAAGCAGGAUUUAACAGAAACCUUGUGAGAUUUCCAAACCAAUUUUGGAGGAGAAGUUUAGACAUUUCUAAUACAUUUUGGAUAAAGGUCAAAAUUUUCAAACCCAGGUGCCUAAAUAGAGGAUCUUAAGCACAUUUAGGCCCCUUAACAGAACUGGUUUGAGGUGUUGGGCAACUAUGGUUGCCAUGGAAAUCAAUGAAGACCCAAUUCAGAAUAUCACUUAAGCAUAUGUUUAAGACCCACCAGAGUGACUCCCCUUGUGACUCAAGCACAUGCUUAAUGUUAAGAACAUGUUUAAGUGGUUUGCAGAAUAGAGAUGCUUUCCUAAAUCAAGGCGUUAGGGUUACAGGUACUCAAAACAUUUGAAAAUUGUUCCAGGUCCAUUCAUGUGCCAAAUAUGUAUUUAGGAGCCUAACUAGAAACCAGGCAUGAAAAUUUGGGACACAAGUAGUGAGAUCGUUAUUCUCAACUAAGUCUGAAGUGGGAACUUGUCAAGAUCCACUGAUCAUUAAAUAGCUUACUUUAUGUAUAGCGAAAUUUAAAGACUAAUUAAUCACUUAAGAAAAAAGCACCACUUUUUCUUCUGUCUUCGUAAUAGGAUGUUUUCAUCUUCUUAAAGUAUAAACAUGGUUUUGCAGUGGAAUUUAUUUUUUAAAUUAAAAAUAUAUUUUCUGUUUUGGUGAAAAAGCAAGAAUGUUUAAAAGUGCUUUUUUCUCCUUUCUUUUUUAUCCAGAACAUCCGAUCUAGAACCAUUAAACUUGAAGGUGGCAAAAAGAACUGAAAAACAUAAUUAUAAACCUUAGGAAAUAUUUUCUCCU